CGCUAGAAGAAGUAACUUUUAGCAAUACCUGCCCAGUGCGAAAUAUUAAUGUAAACGGCCGCCCUAGCGUGAGGGUGCUAAGGUAGCGAAAUUCCUUGCCUUUUGAUUGUAGGCCUGCAUGAAUGGUUUAACGAGGGUUUAGCUGUCUCUAAAUUUUUAAUUGAAAUUGUAUUGAAGGUGAAGAUACCUUCAUUUAAAAGUUAGACAAAAAGACCCCGUGCAACUUUGAAAAUUAACUUUAUUCAGGGGUAAAAGAUUUUUAGGUGGGGCGCCUAGAAAGUAAGCCUAACCUUUCUGAGUAGGAGUUUCUUUCAGGAGUUGACCCGAUUAUAUUCGAUCAUAGGAGAAGUUACGCCGGGGAUAACAGGCUAAUCCUUUAGUAGAGCUCGUAUUGGCUAAAGGGAUUGGCACCUCGAUGUUGAAUCAGGGAUGAUAGCUUCAAGGCGUAGAGGCUUUGAGAGUAGGUCUGUUCGACCUUUAAUACCCU
rnacentral:rRNA from 1 species